GUUACACUCUUGUUUGCAAUUAGUUACAAGUAGUCUUCAAGUGGUAAACUGGUUGAACCCUAAAGAAUUAUGUGGGUGUUAGUUAUUUGGAAACUAGUAUUUUAAUCUUCCCUAGAAAUAGGGCUUUCUAUAGUUGUAACGGAGAUCUUCGGCCGGUCAAAAAGCCUAAUGAAUGAAGAUAUUGAAAUACAAUUCUUCACUACUGAACCUUACUCUCACGUGUAAUUGCAUCGAGAGUUGAAUUUAGCUCAAAAUUCAACUCCAGGUUGUAGGUACACAUUUCCCCAGCUCCUCCUAAUUUCCUGAUCCUCAACACCCUCCACCACAUCCUGACCCUUCAUGUAUCAUGUAUGUCUUUUCUGUUCCUCAUACAGGGUUCAGAUGACUGCAGGUCUGAGGCACGGGCUCCCUCCAGUAUGACGGUGGCUUGGCAUUCGGGACACCAGCUUUAGAUGGUGGCAGAGCUCUGGAGGCUGACGAAAGGAGCCGAGGUCUGUUUAGCUCCAUUCUCUUCUGCUGAGAGCUCCACUGCUCCCUCUCCACUGCUACCGUCUCCUUGCUCCAAAUAGGAUUCUCUCCUCUCCUGGCCCACUCUAGCAGAGUCUUACACACAGGCAUUCUGAGAGUUUCCUCAAAGCUUUGGCUACUACUUUCUAAGGCUCACAAACAAACCGUGAGUAAGAAGUCUCCCUCUUCUGACUCCUCCUUCCUUUGGCCACCUAGGCCCAACAGGAAAGAAAGUUACCUACAGAAGCUUAUAGUCUCUUAUGGAAACCUGUUGUUGCCAUCGAUGCCCCCCAUACCUUUCACCACUCAGAUCACUCAUGUCAACUCACCCCAUCUUGUCACUGUUGCCAGACGACAUUCGGGAAGAAUCCAUAACCCUGCCAUAGAGUAAAAACCAUGUACAAAAAAUAGAGUCAGACAUUUUGGAAGAUAAUCAGGUUCUUUUUCCCAACAGAAUUGCAGCACACAAAAAGUAAAGUCACGAGGAAACACGACAGAAACAAAAGCAUCCGUUUCAGGGUCCAGCACUGGAACCUCUGACACAGUUUCCGGGUUCUGUAUUCCUCUCAGAAAACGUUAUCUGGUUAUAUUAUCCAAAAUCAAGACUUUUCACCUCAAAACUGGCUUGGGUAAUCUUUUCUCUAUUUAUCUUUCUCUUCAUCUACAAAAUAAGACACUUGCAAAAUGCACUUUGAGUCUGUCACCUUCACAGUAUCAUGCUAACAUUCAGCAUUGCACAAAUAUUAUUGAUUUUUGGACAGCCUGCACUCUUCACCAAAUUCUUUCAAAUUUCAUUAAUUCUGUAUCUGCCAACAAUAUACAUUAGUACAUAUAUCUUAAAGUUCAAAUACACUUAAAGGUUCUCAUCAAAGUAACACACCCUGAUAAUUUCCAGAGAAAUCAUGGGUUCCUAUCAAGACGCCAAAUGGUACGGCAUGUUGCAUCCUCCUCCCAAAACUUCAGAAGUCUAAGGAACUAUGCAUUCCCAGAAAUAACAAGAGUGACAACCCUGGGAAAUGACAGAGGCCUGAAGGCUGUCUCUUAAUUGGUGGGUAGCCUGGGGUUAGGGGCAGUGGGUGGCAGCCUUGAGGGGCUCAGUGUGAGGGAAAAUUUUAAGGACCGUUCUUGCCUCUCCCCUGAGUUGCUUGGAAGCGAUCACUUUCC
ensembl:lncRNA